UACGUAGGGAGCAAGCGUUGUCCGGAAUCAUUGGGCGUAAAGCGCGCGUAGGUGGCCUCAUAAGUCCGCUGUGAAAGUCAAAGGCUCAACCUUUGAAAGCCGGUGGAUACUGUGAGGCUAGAGUACGGAAGAGGCGAGUGGAAUUCCUGGUGUAGCGGUGGAAUGCGCAGAUAUCAGGAGGAACACCAAUAGCGAAGGCAGCUCGCUGGGACGUUACUGACACUGAGGCGCGGAAAGCGUGGGGAGCGAACAGG
rnacentral:rRNA from 1 species